UACGGAGGGUGCAAGCGUUAUCCGGAUUCAUCUGGGUUUAAAGGGUAGCGUAGGUGGGCAGGUAAGUCCGUGGUGAAAUCCUAUAGCUUAAACUAUAGAACUGCCAUGGAUACUAUUUGUCUUGAAUGUUGUGGAGGUAAGGCGGAAUAUGUCAUGUAGCGGUGAAAUGCUUAGAUAUACAUAGAACACCUAUUGCGAAGGCAGGCUUACUACGGCAAAUAUUGACACUGAGGCACGAAAGCGUGGGUAGCAAACAGG
rnacentral:rRNA from 1 species